AUAAUAAAAUAUUAAAAUGAGUUUAAUUAGGUUCACAGUGGCCACGACGGAAGGUUUAGCGUCAAGUAAAAGUCAUUGUCAUUGUCAUUAACGAAAUACGAGGACACGAUGCACACUUUUUAAACACAAUAAGUUCCAAUAGAAUACGCCUUAAUAGACAGGCAGCUUACUAAUCUGAAACAACAUGAUAUAAAACUAAAAUAAAAUCGAUGUUGAAAUAAAAUAUUGUCUCAUAACGUGUUUAAAAACGCAUUAUCUGGAAAAAUAAAAUAAAUCCAGAAAAUAAUUAUAGUUUUCGAUAUUUUAAUGGAUUCCUACUGUAAGUAAAACCAAAUAUAUUAUACAACUACGACGCUCGUCUCUCAUAGUGACCGUUUGGACAAAAACAUCGUACAAUACAGUUUUUUUUUUUAUAUAUAAUACCAACAAUGGAUGGACGCAUAAAGUGCACUAAACACGAUAAAGAAAUAGUAACUACUCGAAAAUUUCAAAAGCCUUCUUUUAAAGUAAAGCAUGUGUCGAAUUUCCAGUCUAUAUAGGAAAGCCAGAUAUGAAACGUUCAAGUACUUCUUUACUAUACACACCAUCAUUCGCCGUCUCAUGAAAUCAGUUGUUGAAAAACUCCAAUACAAAUAUUUAAAACUUCAAAAUACAAAAAAAAAGUAGACCGUAAUCAAUACAAAAAAAAAAACACAAAAAAUACAAGUCAAUUGUACAUUCAAAAUAGUUUUAACAUCUAACGUUACAUAUUGUGUUACAAAAGAUUCAGAAAAUACAGAUAGUAUAUAUUGAAGUUCAUACAAAAUAAUAUAUGGCCAUAUAUAAGGUUUAACUUCCUAACAGAAACAAGAAAAGGGUUAAUGCCUACAAUAAUCGUUUGUAUUGUAUUACAUUAACAAGCGUAACAGGAACAUUGCCAUUUAAAAUUUAAUGAAAUACAACAAAACAACUACAACUAUAUUUUAAAACUUACCUGUAUCAUAGAGCGCAAUUAACUUUAAUAUAUUGUAAUUUCACUAGUGGUGUUGAAUGCUUAAAAAAAACUUAACGUACCUAAUUAAAUCGUAAUAUAAUAUAAUAACGAUUAUUACCUCAACCUGUAAGACACCCAAACAUUACUCAUUGUAAAUAUUAAUACGUUAUUUUACACGAACACAAGUACACAACUCAUAGUGACUGGUACGAUGCAAAACUAUAGAUCUUCUGAUAGCGAAGGUGUGAGAGUGCGAAAUUGUAAACGAUUUUAUGAGAUUUCCAAUAAAAUAUAUUUUCUAUAGUAAAAGAUUUUUGUAUCAUAAGUCAUAAUAGUAUUAAACUAAAUACAACAUAAUACCUAUUAUCUUUUAAAAGUAAGUUAAUACACUUUAUAGAAUAAUAAAAAAUAUAAUAUUA